rnacentral:tRNA from 1 species
UAAGACAUAGUUCAGAGGUAGAAGCACUUGCCUUGCAUGUAUGAGGUCCUGGGUUCAAUCCCCAAUAUCGCAA